rnacentral:rRNA from 1 species
UACGUAGGUGGCAAGCGUUGUUCGGAAUUACUGGGCGUAAAGGGCGCGUAGGUGGCCUUGUUAGUCAGACGUGAAAUCCCCAAGCUUAACUUGGGAACUGCGUCUGAUACUGCAAGGCUUGAGUUCGGGAGAGGGAUGUGGAAUUCCAGGUGUAGCGGUGAAAUGCGUAGAUAUCUGGAGGAACACCGGUGGCGAAGGCGGCAUCCUGGGCCGGUAUUGACGCUGAGGAGCGAAAGCCAGGGGGAGC